rnacentral:rRNA from 1 species
AGAGUUUGAUUCUGGCUCAGAUUGAACGCUGGCGGCAUGCCUUACACAUGCAAGUCGAACGGCAGCAUGAUCUAGCUUGCUAGAUUGAUGGCGAGUGGCGAACGGGUGAGUAAUACAUCGGAACGUGCCCUGUAGUGGGGGAUAACUAGUCGAAAGAUUAGCUAAUACCGCAUACGACCUGAGGGUGAAAGUGGGGGACCGCAAGGCCUCAUGCUAUAGGAGCGGCCGAUGUCUGAUUAGCUAGUUGGUGGGGUAAAGGCCCACCAAGGCGACGAUCAGUAGCUGGUCUGAGAGGACGAUCAGCCACACUGGGACUGAGACACGGCCCAGACUCCUACGGGAGGCAGCAGUGGGGAAUUUUGGACAAUGGGUGAAAGCCUGAUCCAGCAAUGCCGCGUGUGUGAAGAAGGCCUUCGGGUUGUAGAGCACUUUUGUCCGGAAAGAAAUGGCUCUGGUUAAUACCUGGGGUCGAUGACGGUGCCGGAAGAAUAAGGACCGGCUAACUACGUGCCAGCAGCCGCGGUCAUACGUAGGGUCCAAGCGUUCAUCGGAAUUACUGUGCGUAGAGCGUGCGCAGGCGGUUGUGCAAGACCGAUGUGAGAUCCCCGAGCUUAACUUGGGAAUUGCAUUGGUGACUGCACGGCUAGAGUGUGUCAGAGGGGGGUAGAAUUCCACGUGUAGCAGUGAAAUGCGUAGAGAUGUGGAGGAAUACCGAUGGCGAAGGCAGCCCCCUGGGAUAACACUGACGCUCAUGCACGAAAGCGUGAGCAACAAACAGGAUUAGAUACCCUGGUAGUCCACGCCCUAAACGAUGUCAACUAGUUGUUGGGGUAUUCAUUUCCUUAGUAACGUAGCUAACGCGUGAAGUUGACCGCCUGGGGAGUACGGUCGCAAGAUUAAAACUCAAAGGAAUUGACGGGGACCCGCACAAGCGGUGGAUGAUGUGGAUUAAUUCGAUGCAACGCGAAAAACCUUACCUACCCUUGACAUGCCACUAACGAAGCAGAGAUGCAUUAGGUGCUCGAAAGAGAAAGUGGACACAGGUGCUGCAUGGCUGUCGUCAGCUCGUGUCGUGAGAUGUUGGGUUAAGUCCCGCAACGAGCGCAACCCUUGUCUCUAGUUGCUACGAAAGGGCACUCUAGAGAGACUGCCGGUGACAAACCGGAGGAAGGUGGGGAUGACGUCAAGUCCUCAUGGCCCUUAUGGGUAGGGCUUCACACGUCAUACAAUGGUGCAUACAGAGGGUUGCCAAGCCGCGAGGUGGAGCUAAUCCCAGAAAAUGCAUCGUAGUCCGGAUCGUAGUCUGCAACUCGACUACGUGAAGCUGGAAUCGCUAGUAAUCGCGGAUCAGCAUGCCGCGGUGAAUACGUUCCCGGGUCUUGUACACACCGCCCGUCACACCAUGGGAGUGGGCUUUACCAG